rnacentral:tRNA from 1 species
GGAUGUGGCUCAAGCGGUAGCAUGCUCGCCUGGCACGCGCGCCGUGCUGGGUUCAAUCCUCAGCACCA